CUCUGCCUAGACUCACUCACUACCUUGGCUUCCAGCCUCUAAUCCCAGUGCCCAUGACCUCCCUAGAGGGCCUUUCUCUCAGAUCAUCAAAUCCUGGCCUAUUGUGACACCUCAGUGCCAACAUUAGCACUGACUUUAACACAUACAUUGGCAGACCCAAAGUCCAGUUACCUUGCAGUUCUGUUGGGCAGAGGUUACUCACAGCUGUCAUAUUUGGGAGGAGGCUCUUUCUCCAUUUAAAGAUAUCGCCAACUGCCUAUGUUCACCAGUAUUUGGAGACUGGCAAUUUUAAGAGUGUUAAGAGGCCAUCUUUGUUAGCAUUUGAAAUUUCUCUGCCCAUGUGUAAGUCUACUGAUAAAUCAAAUUUUGAAACUGUAUAUGGGGUAUUAUUUGAAGUACUCUUUUGA
rnacentral:lncRNA from 1 species